GAAAUUGCAUUGUGAUAGACAAUGAGAAGGGAGUGGGGAGAGAAAAGAGAAUGAGAAACAUGCAAAGGGAAAACAGAUGUCUCAAAGUCACAUGCAACGGCCAAUAAUUUCCAGUGUUCUGAUAAACAUGGGGCAGUGUCGGGAGAAACAGAUUUUGUACGUGAACAGUAAACGUAAACAAUGAGUAACAAAUGGUUCCAAGUCCUUGCUGAAUUGUUUCCACACCUGCUUGGGUCUUAUUGCCAAAUCUUGGAUUCUUCACAUAACCUUGCCAGUGAGACGCUGGCUCUUCUGAAAAGAGAGGAGACAAAGCCUCCCUCCAUCACAUACCUAGGUCCCAACUGAAGCGAUGCUCAUUAAGGCCAGGGUCCCUGGGAAAAUGGUAAACUCUAUGAUCGACUGCCUCAUUUCCACAACUUCUCUCUCCAGAUAAUCAGAGCUCCGACUAGCCAGGUUCUGAAUGGAGCCUUCCUUACUCUUGCCUUUUCUCCAGCUCUGACUGUGCUGGACAGGGUCCUGUGCUCAGCCUUGGUAUUUAAACCCUUGGAAGCUCGACUUUCCUCAGAAUCCUAGAAUACAGAACUGCAAAGAAUCUUAUUUAUUGUUUAUUUCAACUCUUUCAUUUUCAGGGAAGCCCACUGAGACCCAGAAAGCUCAAAUAACUUGUCUGUGGUCCCUGGAAGAUCAGAAUCAGAACUCAAGCCCAGGCCAGUCUUUCCCUUUUCAUAAUACCUUUACAGACAGGUAGAACCUCAUUUUACAGGAUGUUCUAAGACUCUUUGCAUGAGUUGAAAAUUGCUUAUAAUAGUGAACGCCUUUAUUUAAUAAGUAUUUCUUAUAGCAACACACAUAGCUACUUUACAACUUGUCUUAGGCUUAUUAGAGCUACCCACAGCAAUACUCUUGUACCUGGGCCAUUACUAAUAACUAAGUGGCAUUAAUGAAACAAAGGUGAAGCACUGCUCUACUGGGAACAUGACUUGUUACAAGCAAAGAUUCUGGACAAAGAAUGAUGAGGAGCUAAUGUCUGGUGCAGAACAAUUUCACAGUCAAUCCUUUAUUACAACUCUUGAGCUGUGGCUGAUCAAAGACUAUGAUACCAGAGCAUCUGUGUCUGCAUCUAAGUCAACCCUCCUGUGGGAUCUGUGCUAUGCUCCUUUGCUUGAUCAAGGGAAUAUCCAACUCCAGAUUGCCCAAACCACUGGAAUUAGACCUAAGGAGACUUCUGAUUUCUAGGAGAGAAGCCCUUGUAGAGACUUGAGUUUGGUGGAUUCAGAUGUCAUUGAAGAACAAAAACUAAGCUAUUGAGAAAACUUGGAAAGAAGUCUUUAGUGGAGUAAUGAAGGAAUCUGCCUUGAUCCUAAUCUGUUCAACAUUUUAUCAGUAACUGGGAUGAAAGCUUAGAUGGCAUGCUUGUAAACUUUUCAGAUGCAAAGUCAAAGGAAUUGCUAAAAUGUCAGAUGACAGUGUUCAUAUUCCCAAAGAUCUUGACAACCUAGAAUGAAGGGCUAAAUCAACCAACAUAAUCUUAUGAAAUUAAUAGGUAUAAAUGUCAAGUCUUCUGCUUGGAUUCAAAGAAUCAACUACACAAAAACAGAAUGAAGGGAAAAUGGACAAAUUUCAACUUCUGGGGUGGGGCCCUAAGGUUUUAGUUGAUUAUAAGUUAAGCAUGAGGCAAGAAUAUUCUAUGGCAGCCAAAAAAAUCUAGUAUAGUUUACAAAUGUUUGCUGGAUGAAUGACUGGACACAAAGAGCACUCUCUGAGGAUUAAUAUUAAUUUGGAAUAUUGUUAAUAAUGGACUUCCAAGGGAUCAAUGCUUGCCCCUAUGCUGUUUAACAUUUUUAUUAAUAAUUUGGAUAAAGGAAUGGGUGCAAAGGGAAGAAGUUGUAAAGAAGGAAAUUUAAGCUUUAUAGAAAGAAACUAUCAUUUGUGAAAUCUUAACAGAGAAUGAUGAAAGAUGAUAGCAACAUUUUCUCAUAAAACGGAGAUAGACAUAUAGGAGAAGAAAAACAGUUUAAAGAAACCUUGGUGAGAUAGAAAUCCAUUACAUAAGAAAAUCAUCCCAAGGGCAUUUAGGCAUGAAAAUGGAAGAAGGACAAUAACAGAAUAAAAGUGGAAAAGAUCUAAAGAGAUUUUAUAAU
rnacentral:lncRNA from 1 species